rnacentral:rRNA from 1 species
CCUCGGGGGAUGGCCUAUAGUACGGCGAGUGAGCGGCAAAAGCUCAAAUUUGAAAUCUGGCACCUUCGGUGUCCGAGUUGUAAUUUGAAGAAGGUAACUUUGGAGUUGGCUCUUGUCUAUGUUCCUUGGAACAGGACGUCACAGAGGGUGAGAAUCCCGUGCGAUGAGAUGCCCAAUUCUAUGUAAAGUGCUUUCGAAGAGUCGAGUUGUUUGGGAAUGCAGCUCUAAGUGGGUGGUAAAUUCCAUCUAAAGCUAAAUAUUGGCGAGAGACCGAUAGCGAACAAGUACAGUGAUGGAAAGAUGAAAAGAACUUUGAAAAGAGAGUGAAAAAGUACGUGAAAUUGUUGAAAGGGAAGGGCUUGAGAUCAGACUUGGUAUUUUGCGAUCCUUUCCUUCUUGGUUGGGUUCCUCGCAGCUUACUGGGCCAGCAUCGGUUUGGAUGGUAGGAUAAUGACUAAGGAAUGUGGCUCUACUUCGGUGGAGUGUUAUAGCCUUGGUUGAUACUGCCUGUCUAGACCGAGGACUGCGUCUUUUGACUAGGAUGUUGGCAUAAUGGAUCUUAAAGCCACCCCCUCUUGAAUACACGGGACCAAAAAAAAAAACCCCCCCCCCCAAAAAAAAACCAAAAAACCAUAAUUUUUUUUUUGAUAUUUGGCUAGCUUUUCGUUU